GUGGAUCCUCUGGGGAGCCUCAACAACAUCCUGAUGCUGACGAGGCAGAGAAGAGUCUCUCCAGAUCAGAUCACCAGAUGGACAACGCUAGCCCUUCCUCCCUCCCGGAGUACCCGUGUCGUGCCUCUCCCGGUAGCGCCUUACUGGGUAUGAAGAGGUUGUCUGUGCUGCUGGUGGACUGCAGGAAAACAACGGGGCUGAGUGGAACUGUGAGAGGAGGAGAAGAGAAGAAAGGAUCAGAUUUGACACAUCAAAG